rnacentral:lncRNA from 1 species
UGCUCAUCUGCAAAGCUACAUGUGCUGAAGGAGAGGAAGACCCUUUGCAAAAAGUGUGCCACUCGGAGGACUCUCCCAAGUGCAAAGGGUGUUUUCAGGCCCUUGUAGAAGGAGACCAGAAUGUGGAGUACAAGGGGACCAUCUGGGACAAGGACUGCUUCACAUGUGGAGCUGCAAGCAAGUCAUCAGGACAGGAAGCUUUUUCCCUAAAGGGGAAGACUUCCACUGCAUGACUUGCCACAAGGCCAAGUUUGCCAAGCACUGUGUCAAGUGCAAGAAAGGUGUGGCAGAGGCUCCAGUGUGGUGGCCUAUGAAGGACAAUCCUGGCAGGACCACUGUUUCCACUGCAAAAAAA